rnacentral:snoRNA from 2 species
UUGCAGGAGCCUCCCGGGCUAGUCUGAUAGUAAUUCAUGAGGAAUUAAGCCCCAAAGCUCCUGCUAGAUUGGUGCCAUUCGUGUUGCAGUUCUGUCUCUAAUCUUAUCUGGCUUAACUGUGUCAAAGCAAUGUCUAGAUUU